UACGAAGGGUGCAAGCGUUACUCGGAAUUACUGGGCGUAAAGCGUGCGUAGGUGGUUUGUUAAGUCUGAUGUGAAAGCCCUGGGCUCAACCUGGGAAUUGCAUUGGAUACUGGCAGGCUAGAGUGCGGUAGAGGAUGGCGGAAUUCCCGGUGUAGCAGUGAAAUGCGCAGAUAUCAGGAGGAACACCAAUAGCGAAGGCAGCUCGCUGGGACGUUACUGACACUGAGGCGCGAAAGCGUGGGGAGCGAACAGG
rnacentral:rRNA from 1 species